rnacentral:tRNA from 1 species
GGAGCUGUGGCUUGGGGGUAGAACAUCUGCUCGGCGUGCAGAAGGUCCCAGAUUCAAUCCCCAGCAUCUCCA